GAUGAAGAACGCAGCGAAAUGCGAUAAGUAAUGUGAAUUGCAGAAUUCAGUGAAUCAUCGAAUCUUUGAACGCACCUUGCACCCUUUGGCAUUCCGAAGGGUAUGCUCGUUUGAGUGUCAUUGUACUCUCACACUUCCAAUUCUUUGGAUUGGGAGCGGUGGACUUGGGUGCUGCUGCUUACCGUGGCUCACCUCAAAUGUGUUAGUGCAACCGUUGGUUAGACAUAGUACAGCGUGAUAAGUAUCUUCGCUGGCGCCUCUGUAAGGAGGGUGGCCGAUCGGGAGCUCUGUGCUUCAAACCGUCUUCGGACAAUCUUUGACAACUUGACCUCAAAUCGAGUAGGACUACCCGCUGAACUUAAGCAUAUCAAUAAGCGGAGGA
rnacentral:misc_RNA from 1 species